GGCUCUGGCUUCACAUUGGGGAACCGGCAGUUAGACUUCAAAAGCGGUGGGACGGUGGGUGAGACUGUCGGAUGCGGCUUUGAGGCUCCUCCCUCCCGUUGGCGGCGGGCCGCCCCUGCCCGGGGUUUGGGGCGGGCCAGCCUGUGACGCUCAGGAGCCGGCCGGGAGAGGCGGAGUCUUCUCAGUCAGGAGGAGGAGGAACGCUGAGGUGGGCGGGGCCCUGUGGAGCCAGGAAGGGAGCUGGGGCACGGCGCUCAGGACCGUGACUGGAUGGGAGCCCGUUAGGCUCCGUUUGAACUUCCCCGGCCCUGUUGCUCCGUCACCCGCCCCGAGAGAUAGGCCCGGUGGCCGCGGGCAGAGAUGGGCGCAGGACACUGCCCCAGCCACCGCUGCCGCUACUAGUAGGGGGUUGCAUAGCCCACCGGCUCUCGCUGUCCUUUACUGGCUGGGGCCCGUGGAAGACAACGGCUAGAAAAAGUCUUGGGUUCAAACCCUGCUGAAGAUCGAUGUGGGACAAUGUAGUAGACUAACACGGCUGCUACUCUGAAACCUGUCAUAAAAUAUGAACCGACCAAACCAUCACCAUAACUUGAACCAAACAUCAGUUGAAGUACAAAUAAGGUAUAGUUACUGUUUUCUAAUUAUUUUUCAGUUUUCCAUGCUUCUGCACUUCCUGGUUCCAUUUGGAAGUGAAAUGCUGAAAUACCACACAGGUCAAUUGUUUUUGCAUGAUAUUCAGUACAAUUUUUCAAACAGGAGAGAUAUUACUAAAAUCACUGUAGUACUUAAGUACAAUAAUUAAGAAACACACAAAACUAGUCCUUAAUUUAACUUGGGAAAAUUUUGUUUUAUUUUCCUUCAUCCACAAUUCCCUGCCUAUACCCUUUCCUUCUCUCCUGCAUCUUGAUUUUUCAUUUCCUUUGAUUGCAGCUAUUUUUCUGUUCAAAGAGCAGUUGGACUUAAGUUUAUUCUGAUCUCUAGUAGUACAUGUUCAGGACCCAGCACUGCAGAUGCCUUGUUUCCUGCUCCUGAAAAUUUCAUCCUUAGCAAUGAGAUUUCCUCUGCAAGAGAAUUGUGCUGGAAAAAUAGGAAGAGAUGUUCUCUGAUGACAGUGUUUGAGAUAAAGAGAAGCUAAGAUACCAGAAGUAACUGAAAAGACUACAUUUUAUUUGCCAAUUAAAAAAAAAUAUAUUAGAGACACUCCAUGGUCAUUGACUGAGGCUUCUGCAACAUAAGUUUCUGCUGUGAAAUUACAGAACAGGAUUUAGUUUGAUAUAACAAUACAAUAUGAAUGUAGAACACUGCUCAUACAAGCAUCUAAAAUUUCUGUACAUAAAAAUGUACAAACCCAGAAAACAAAUAAAACUGAUUUUGAAAAAUAUGGGAAAAAAAAUUGUUCCUGUUUUUGAGAGGUACUGUGCACCUGAAGUUGCUAACAUUGGACCAAAACACUGACCACUGCUGUGAAGAGCUUUCCUCCUGCUUCACAAAAGAGAUGAGAUGAAUGCACACAGGAAGGAAACUAUAUAGCAGCUCAGAUGACAUUACCAACCCUGCCAUUUGUGUGUGUUUGCUACACAAUGAAGCUGAAGAAAUGCUGAGAAAUAUUUGACACAUCACUUGUGAAACAGGUGCAACUCUCUGGGACGAGGAAUGGCAAUAAAGAAAACUGUUCCUACUCCUAAUGGUAAUUGUCAAUGAAAAUCCUACUAAAAAUUGUGACAAUGUUCAUGAUUCUCAGAAAGCCAGCUUUUGACUGAGAAUCUCCAACGCUUAUGCAAAACCAUUCAGAAAGUACUGGUAGCCAUGUUUCAACUAGGUAUGACUUUUGCUGACAUCUUGGAUGCCCUACAAUUCAACUUCAGACUAGGGUAUGGCAUGGACACAGUCCCAGUAAUACUAAGGAAUGAAGAGAGGCCAAUCUCAAAUCUCAUAAUACCGGACCUCUCCACAACUUUUGACUGUCCACUGUAAGGUAUUGCUGACCACUUACAAGACAUUGCUGAACCAGACGUCACAGCAAUAGCGCUCCAACCUUUUCCAACAGGCUUAGAGAGUAAUGAUGGGAAACUGUUCAUCUUCCAGAAAAGUCUUCACUUGUGGGCUCCCAGAAGGAACUAUCCUGUUCCCCCUCCUCUUCAGAAUCUAGGAGAUCACCUGUAGAGGUGCUGAGACACAUUGGUUUCAUUGCCAAAAAUACACAAGACACCAAGCUUUAUUUCUGAUUGUUUACAGAUUCAACUGAUAUCCCCACUAACAUGACACACUGGCUCCAUGACAGACAGCUUGCUCAAACUUGUCUACAUGGGGAAUUAUUCCAGACUAGCUCCAUGGGUGGACACACUUAUUCCAAAAUAAGAAUUUCUUAUUCCAAAUUAGGUUAAUUUACUGGAUUUAUUUAAUUUGGAAUAAGGCACUCUUAUUCUGGGAUAAAAACCUCCACACAUGGAAUUAAUCAGGAAUAGUUAAUCUUCUUUACAUUCACACCCUCCUUCAUUCUGGAUUAAUUUUCAUAUUUAGAGAAGCCCGAAGACUGAAAUGUUGGUAGUUGAAAGAGGAAAAUGUUUUCAAGACAUUAUAGGAGAUGGAAUGAGUUGAAUUUUACCUCUAGAAAUAAGAAACAAUGUGGACAUAUGCCACUGAGGCUGAAAAAAACCCCUUUAUUCUUGGUGGAAGAUGGUAAACUUCACAUACAAUGCUCAGUUGAACCAAGCAACUGCAUAUAUGAUGUCUGAUGCCCAAACUGAAUGGAUAUCUCCUAUUGUAUCACUUGGGUUAAACGUCAACACCAGUGUGAUGCAACCAACAGAACACAAACUCUGGGCAAUUAAACAGAAUCAGACAUGGAAAAUUGUUGAACUUGAGACUUGUAUGGGAGAACAGGGAAUUGGAUACAUUUGUCAUAACGAUGACAUUCAACCUAUGAUAUACAUUUAAAUAAAGACAGAGGAAAAUGUCAUCACCAGCUAGAUCCUUUUGUCCAGGUACAGACAUCUUCAUCUUUUAUAUUGACAGAGCAGAAGGACCUCAGAUGAGUCAGAGGGAUUUUGGUGUGAGAGCGUAACAUAAUAACAAAUAACAUAACAAAAUAUAAAUUAUUUUCUUUGAGUGUCUGGGUGGGUGUGUUAAUAAAGUUUGAUGCCUGCUUCUGAAUGAGGAGCUCUCCCCUGCCCACUGAUCGCUUGGCCAGUGCUCACAGGAUGUAUGUUAAAUAUUAAGUGUUAGUAUUAAGUAAAUGUUUUCUUUUUAAAUCUGUGAAUAUGAUGACUGUUUCAUAUGUGUAUAUAGAGGCCAUGUAUACUACAUUGCAUUAAGUACAGGGUUAGACUAACAUUAAGACUAAAAGCCUUUGUAUGUGGGAUCUUUAUAUGCAUGUUACAUUAAAACUACUGUAUUCUCUAUCAGUGGUUCUCAAAGGUGUUUUUUUUUUUUUUUUUUUGCGGACAACUUGAAAAUUGCCGAGGGCGUCAACAGAACACUUAUUGAUCUUUCCAAAUGUUGUUUGUACUGUUAGCUAACUAUUGCAAACCGCUUUGGAUAAAAGUGCUAUAUAAAAAAAACCCUUAAUUUUUGUUCUACAAAUAAAAGCACAUAACUUAAUCAGUAGUCUUACCUUUCUAAUGCGAUGGAUGUGCUCUCUUCCCUGCUGUGGCAGCCCCCAAGUUGGGGCUGGGAAGGAGGGGGGGUCUCCCCUGCCACAGCAGUCACUAGGUUGAGAAGCCACUGUACUGCCGCAGUAGCCCCUGAGCUGGGGCUGGAAAGGAGGGCCGUCUCUCCCUGGCAGCCACAAUCCUGGAGAUGGGGAAAGUCACCUCUUUCUCUGGCCACUGCAGCCCUGCAUGUCCCAAAUUCCCACCACCCCCUCUUCUCACCCCACUGUCCCCUCCCAUCUAUCCCCUAUUCCCCACAAGACUACCACCUCAUCUUAUAUGUGAGUCUUCUCCAGGGUCCAGGCACCUAAUUAGUGGAGUCACACCUGCACGGCUCCACUAAUUAGGUGGGUGGCCCUUCGUUCUCUUUCGUGCGCCCAGGCAUGCACCUUAUUAUCCGUAGACCACCUGAAUGGAGCUCACGGACCACAGUUUGAGAACCUCUGCUCUAUAGGUGUUAGAUAUUUUAUGCAGUCUAUGUCUUAUUUUGCUGCACUGCUUUAUUGUGUAAUUGUUAAAUAUAAUUAUAUUCUAUUUUAUUAAAUCCUAUGCAUCUUUUCUUGUUUUGUUAAACUUUUUUUAAAAAAGUUUCUGUUAAAUAAAUAAUUUAGAUUUAAAA